CACCGCCCGUCACAUCACGAAAGCCAGUUGUACUAGAAGCCGGCAAUUCAACCGCAAGGAGAUAGCCGUCCAAGGUAUGACUGGUGAUUGGGGUGAAGUCGUAACAAGGUACCC
rnacentral:rRNA from 1 species